rnacentral:rRNA from 1 species
UUUUAUUUGAGAGUUUGAUCCUGGCUCAGGAUGAACGCUGGCGGCGUGCCUAACACAUGCAAGUUGAGCGAUUUACUUCGGUAAAGAGCGGCGGACGGGUGAGUAACGCGUGGGUAACCUACCCUGUACACACGGAUAACAUACCGAAAGGUAUGCUAAUACGGGAUAAUAUAUUUGAGAGGCAUCUCUUAAAUAUCAAAGGUGAGCCAGUACAGGAUGGACCCGCGUCUGAUUAGUUAGUUGGUAAGGUAACGGCUUACCAAGGCGACGAUCAGUAGCCGACCUGAGAGGGUGAUCGGCCACAUUGGAACUGAGACACGGUCCAAACUCCUACGGGAGGCAGCAGUGGGGAAUAUUGCACAAUGGGCGAAAGCCUGAUGCAGCAACGCCGCGUGAGUGAUGAAGGCCUUCGGGUCGUAAAACUCUGUCCUCAAGGAAGAUAAUGACGGUACUUGAGGAGGAAGCCCCGGCUAACUACGUGCCAGCAGCCGCGGUAAUACGUAGGGGGCUAGCGUUAUCCGGAUUUACUGGGCGUAAAGGGUGCGUAGGCGGUCUUUCAAGUCAGGAGUGAAAGGCUACGGCUCAACCGUAGUAAGCUCUUGAAACUGGGAGACUUGAGUGCAGGAGAGGAGAGUGGAAUUCCUAGUG